AGGUGCGAUCAUACCAGUGUUAAUGCACCGGAUCCCAUCAAAACUUUGCAGUUAAGCACGCUUGGGCUAGAGUAGUACUGGGAUGGGUGACCUCUUGGGAAGUCCUAGUGUUGCACACU
rnacentral:rRNA from 1 species